ensembl:lncRNA
GCGGCGCAUGCGCGUUGUCGCCGAGGCGCGCGCCUGCCUGGACCCUGGGCCACGCCGGGCCGCUCCUACUUGGCCUUACGGGGGAAGGCUCCGGGCGGGCCCGGGGCAGGGAGAUCCGGCAGGUGUUUGUAACCCCUUUUCGCCUGCAACUGACCGUGAACAAAUUACCUAAACCGACCCUGAUCGUCCUCGUCAGUAAAACUGGGAUAAGGCCGCCUAGUUCCUAAGGCUUUUGCAGAAUGAAUGAAACGUCAUUUUGCUGCGCUCAGAAUAAAACCCAAAUCCCUUAUCACGGCCUGCAGGGCCCUGCAAGAUUCGGGCCCUGCCGACCAGCUGGCCAUGGCCUCUACUUUCCUGCUCCUUGGUUCCCGUGCUUCAGCCACAUGCCCUCACGUCUGUUCCUUUCACACGCCUCACUCAGGCCCACCUAAGGGCCCUCUGUCACCUUCAUCACUGUAACACCGGUGACCAAAUCCGUACCUGACACAGGGGCACCUAAAUGAUAUUUGAAUGAAUGCUUUGCAGUGGAGCCUGGUCUUGAGUGACUCUGUCUAUACGGCUUAUCUUUCCUCUUUCUGUUAACACCCCCAGCGUUUUCUAACCUCUCCCAACUUCCCUCUACCUUCCAUCAGUCUUACCAAAUUUAACUUUGGCAAACUGGCCACCUCCAGCCCUCUCCCCACCCCUGAACCCAAGCAGGGCCUCCCUGAUGGUCCAGUGGUUAAGAAUCUGCCUUGCAAUGCAAGGGACAUUGGUUCUGUCCCUGAUCCAGGAAGACCUCACAUGCUGCGGAGCAACUAAGCCCGUGCACCACAACCACUGAGUCAGGUGCUGCAACUACCGCCACUCGUGCACCUACAGCCUGUGGAAGAGAACCCACCGCAGUGAGAAGCCUGCGCGCUGCGGUGAAGAGUAGCCCCUACUGGCAGCAACUCAGUUCAGUUCAGUCGCUCAGUCGUGUCCGACUCUUUGCGACCCCAUGGAUCGCAGCACGCCAGGCCUCCCUGUCCAUCACCAACUCCUGGAGUUCACUCAGACUCAUGUCCAUUGAGUUGGUGACGCCAUCCAGCCAUCUCAUCC